UUUUGCUCCACAAGCCACAAGCGACGAGCCACACGCUUCCCCGUAACACC
rnacentral:sRNA from 1 species